GGUUAAGCGACUAAGCGUACACGGUGGAUGCCCUGGCAGUCAGAGGCGAUGAAGGACGUGCUAAUCUGCGAAAAGCGUCGGUAAGGUGAUAUGAACCGUUAUAACCGGCGAUGUCCGAAUGGGGAAACCCAGUGCAAUUCGUUGCACUAUCGUUAACUGAAUACAUAGGUUAACGAGGCGAACCGGGGGAACUGAAACAUCUAAGUACCCCGAGGAAAAGAAAUCAACCGAGAUUCCCCCAGUAGCGGCGAGCGAACGGGGAGCAGCCCAGAGUCUGAAUCAGCUUGUGUGUUAGUGGAACGGUCUGGAAAGUCCGACGGUACAGGGUGAUAGUCCCGUACACCAAAAUGCACAGGCUGUGAACUCGAAGAGUAGGGCGGGACACGUGGUAUCCUGUCUGAAUAUGGGGGGACCAUCCUCCAAGGCUAAAUACUCCUGACUGACCGAUAGUGAACCAGUACCGUGAGGGAAAGGCGAAAAGAACCCCGGCGAGGGGAGUGAAAAAGAACCUGAAACCGUGUACGUACAAGCAGUGGGAGCACCUUCGGGUGUGACUGCGUACCUUUUGUAUAAUGGGUCAGCGACUUAUAUUCUGUAGCAAGGUUAACCGUAUAGGGGAGCCGCAGGGAAACCGAGUCUUAACUGGGCGUUAAGUUGCAGGGUAUAGACCCGAAACCCGGUGAUCUAGCCAUGGGCAGGUUGAAGGUUGGGUAACACUAACUGGAGGACCGAACCGACUAAUGUUGAAAAAUUAGCGGAUGACUUGUGGCUGGGGGUGAAAGGCCAAUCAAACCGGGAGAUAGCUGGUUCUCCCCGAAAGCUAUUUAGGUAGCGCCUCGUGAAUUCAUCUUCGGGGGUAGAGCACUGUUUCGGCUAGGGGGUCAUCCCGACUUACCAACCCGAUGCAAACUACGAAUACCGAAGAAUGUUAUCACGGGAGACACACGGCGGGUGCUAACGUCCGUCGUGAAGAGGGAAACAACCCAGACCGCCAGCUAAGGUCCCAAAGUCAUGGUUAAGUGGGAAACGAUGUGGGAAGGCACAGACAGCCAGGAUGUUGGCUUAGAAGCAGCCAUCAUUUAAAGAAAGCGUAAUAGCUCACUGGUCGAGUCGGCCUGCGCGGAAGAUGUAACGGGGCUAAACCAUGCACCGAAGCUGCGGCAGCGACACUAUGUGUUGUUGGGUAGGGGAGCGUUCUGUAAGCCUGCGAAGGUGUGCUGUGAGGCAUGCUGGAGGUAUCAGAAGUGCGAAUGCUGACAUAAGUAACGAUAAAGCGGGUGAAAAGCCCGCUCGCCGGAAGACCAAGGGUUCCUGUCCAACGUUAAUCGGGGCAGGGUGAGUCGACCCCUAAGGCGAGGCCGAAAGGCGUAGUCGAUGGGAAACAGGUUAAUAUUCCUGUACUUGGUGUUACUGCGAAGGGGGGACGGAGAAGGCUAUGUUAGCCGGGCGACGGUUGUCCCGGUUUAAGCAUGUAGGCUGAUUGUCCAGGCAAAUCCGGAUAAUCAAGGCUGAGGUGUGAUGACGAGGCACUACGGUGCUGAAGUAACAAAUGCCCUGCUUCCAGGAAAAGCCUCUAAGCAUCAGGUAACAUCAAAUCGUACCCCAAACCGACACAGGUGGUCAGGUAGAGAAUACCAAGGCGCUUGAGAGAACUCGGGUGAAGGAACUAGGCAAAAUGGUGCCGUAACUUCGGGAGAAGGCACGCUGGUGUGUAGGUGAAGUCCCUGCGGAUGGAGCUGAGACCAGUCGAAGAUACCAGCUGGCUGCAACUGUUUAUUAAAAACACAGCACUGUGCAAACACGAAAGUGGACGUAUACGGUGUGACGCCUGCCCGGUGCCGGAAGGUUAAUUGAUGGGGUUAUCCGUAAGGAGAAGCUCUUGAUCGAAGCCCCGGUAAACGGCGGCCGUAACUAUAACGGUCCUAAGGUAGCGAAAUUCCUUGUCGGGUAAGUUCCGACCUGCACGAAUGGCGUAAUGAUGGCCAGGCUGUCUCCACCCGAGACUCAGUGAAAUUGAACUCGCUGUGAAGAUGCAGUGUACCCGCGGCAAGACGGAAAGACCCCGUGAACCUUUACUAUAGCUUGACACUGAACAUUGAGCCUUGAUGUGUAGGAUAGGUGGGAGGCUUUGAAGCGUGGACGCCAGUCUGCGUGGAGCCAACCUUGAAAUACCACCCUUUAAUGUUUGAUGUUCUAACGUUGGCCCCUUACCGGGGUUGCGGACAGUGUCUGGUGGGUAGUUUGACUGGGGCGGUCUCCUCCCAAAGCGUAACGGAGGAGCACGAAGGUUAGCUAAUCCUGGUCGGACAUCAGGAGGUUAGUGCAAUGGCAUAAGCUAGCUUGACUGCGAGCGUGACGGCGCGAGCAGGUGCGAAAGCAGGUCAUAGUGAUCCGGUGGUUCUGAAUGGAAGGGCCAUCGCUCAACGGAUAAAAGGUACUCCGGGGAUAACAGGCUGAUACCGCCCAAGAGUUCAUAUCGACGGCGGUGUUUGGCACCUCGAUGUCGGCUCAUCACAUCCUGGGGCUGAAGUAGGUCCCAAGGGUAUGGCUGUUCGCCAUUUAAAGUGGUACGCGAGCUGGGUUUAGAACGUCGUGAGACAGUUCGGUCCCUAUCUGCCGUGGGCGCUGGAGAAUUGAGGGGGGCUGCUCCUAGUACGAGAGGACCGGAGUGGACGCAUCACUGGUGUUCGGGUUGUCAUGCCAAUGGCACUGCCCGGUAGCUAAAUGCGGAAGAGAUAAGUGCUGAAAGCAUCUAAGCACGAAACUUGCCCCGAGAUGAGUUCUCCCUGAGACUUUAAGUCUCCUGAAGGAACGUUGAAGACGACGACGUUGAUAGGCCGGGUGUGUAAGCGCAGCGAUGCGUUGAGCUAACCGGUACUAAUGAACCGUGAGGCUUAACCUU
rnacentral:rRNA from 2 species